AGUAAUGCCUAGGAAUCUGCCUGGUAGUGGGGGACAACGUUUCGAAAGGAACGCUAAUACCGCAUACGUCCUACGGGAGAAAGCAGGGGACCUUCGGGCCUUGCGCUAUCAGAUGAGCCUAGGUCGGAUUAGCUAGUUGGUGAGGUAAUGGCUCACCAAGGCGACGAUCCGUAACUGGUCUGAGAGGAUGAUCAGUCACACUGGAACUGAGACACGGUCCAGACUCCUACGGGAGGCAGCAGUGGGGAAUAUUGGACAAUGGGCGAAAGCCUGAUCCAGCCAUGCCGCGUGUGUGAAGAAGGUCUUCGGAUUGUAAAGCACUUUAAGUUGGGAGGAAGGGUUGUAGAUUAAUACUCUGCAAUUUUGACGUUACCGACAGAAUAAGCACCGGCUAACUCUGUGCCAGCAGCCGCGGUAAUACAGAGGGUGCAAGCGUUAAUCGGAAUUACUGGGCGUAAAGCGCGCGUAGGUGGUUUGUUAAGUUGGAUGUGAAAUCCCCGGGCUCAACCUGGGAACUGCAUCCAAAACUGGCAAGCUAGAGUAUGGUAGAGGGUGGUGGAAUUUCCUGUGUAGCGGUGAAAUGCGUAGAU
rnacentral:rRNA from 1 species